CUUAUUAAUAUUAAAGCUUCGGCACUUGAUGAUGGGUGUGCGGCUGAUUAGAUAGUUGGCGGGUAACGGCCCACCAAGUCUACGAUCAGUAGCUGAUGUGAGAGCAUGAUCAGCCACACGGGCACUGAGACACGGGCCCGACUCCUACGGGAGGCAGCAGUAAGGAAUAUUGGACAAUGGACGAAAGUCUGAUCCAGCCAUGCCGCGUGAAGGAUUAAGGUCCUCUGGAUUGUAAACUUCUUUUAUAUGGGACGAAAAAAGGGCAUUCUUGUUCACUUGACGGUACCAUAUGAAUAAGCACCGGCUAACUCCGUG
rnacentral:rRNA from 1 species